rnacentral:rRNA from 1 species
UGGACUGUAACUGACGCUGAGGCACGAAAGCGUGGGUAGCAAACAGGAUUAGAUACCCUGGUAGUCCACGCCGUAAACGAUGAGUACUAGGUGUAGGAGGUAUCGACCCCUUCUGUGCCGCAGUAAACACAAUAAGUACUCCGCCUGGGAAGUACGAUCGCAAGAUUAAAACUCAAAGGAAUUGACGGGGGCCCGCACAAGCAGUGGAGUAUGUGGUUUAAUUCGAAGCAACGCGAAGAACCUUACCAGGUCUUGACAUUUGCCGGAUCCCGCGGAGACGCGGGGGUGCCCUUCGGGGAGCGGCAAGACAGGUGGUGCAUGGUUGUCGUCAGCUCGUGUCGUGAGAUGUUGGGUUAAGUCCCGCAACGAGCGCAACCCUUGUGAUUAGUUGCUACGCAAGAGCACUCUAAUCAGACUGCCGUUGACAAAACGGAGGAAGGUGGGGAUGACGUCAAAUCAUCAUGCCCCUUAUGACCUGGGCUACACACGUACUACAAUGGCCGCGCACAGAGGGAAGCGAAACCGCGAGGCGGAGCGAACCCCCAAAAACGGUCUCAGUUCGGAUCGCAGGCUGCAACCCGCCUGCGUGAAGCUGGAAUUGCUAGUAAUCGCGGAUCAUCAUGCCGCGGUGAAUACGUUCCCGGGCCUUGUACACAUCUCGACCCGUCACACCAUGGGAGCCGGUAAUACCCGAAGUCGGUAGUCUAACCGCAAGGAGGACGCCGCCGAAGGUAGGAUUGGCGACUGGGGUGAAGUCGUAACAAGGUA